AUGCCUCCUCACAGACAACCUGGCCAAACGAGGAUGGCCACACAAUGCAUCAUGCAGUCUCUGCUAGAGGACACCGCAGAGCGCAUUUUUCACCUGCUCGCCUCAUGCUCCUUCACCACGGAGCUUUGGCAGAGGGUGCUAAACUGGUGCGAUCUACCGGCGACGCUGGCACCGUCCUCGACCGCAGCAAACCUUCUAGAAUGGAGGGAUCAAAGCCGGUCCAGGGUGGCGAGGGACCAUAGACGUGGAUGGAGCUCGCUGGUGCAGCUGGUCUGGUGGACGGCAUGGAAAGAACGAAAUACGCAAAUCUUCGAUAACAAGUUCUCGAAGGGGGUGCAGGUCUUCCACCGCCUGAUUGAAGACAUCGACACUUGGACGAUAGCCGGCCGUAACAAGAUCAAGAACCUGCUGCAUAGACCUCUAGAACCAGACUAG
rnacentral:rRNA from 1 species